UACGGGGGGGGUAAGCGUUGUUCGGAAUUACUGGGCGUAAAGGGCUCGUAGGCGGCCAACUAAGUCACACGUGAAAUCCCCAGGCUUAACCUGGGAACUGCGUGUGAUACUGGAUGGCUUGAAUUCGGGAGAGGGAUGCAGAAUUCCAGGUGUAGCGGUGAAAUGCGUAGAUAUCGGGAAGAACAUCAGUGGCGAAGGCGGCCUGCUGGGCUGUUGCUGACGCUGAGGCGCGACAGCGUGGGGAGCAAACAGG
rnacentral:rRNA from 1 species